rnacentral:rRNA from 1 species
UACGUAGGGGGGCAAGCGUUGUCCGGAUUUAUUGGGCGUAAAGAGCGUGUAGGCGGCCAGGUAGGUCCGUUGUGAAAACUCGAGGCUCAACCUCGAGACGCCGAUGGAAGCCAUCUGGCUAGAGUCCGGAAGAGGAGAGUGGAAUUCCCGGUGUAGCGGUGAAAUGCGCAGAUAUCAGGAGGAACACCGAUGGCGAAGGCAGCUCGCUGGGACGGUACUGACGCUGAGGCGCGAAAGCGUGGGGAGCGAACAGG